rnacentral:rRNA from 1 species
GAUGAACGCUGGCGGCGUGCCUAAUACAUGCAAGUCGAGCGAGACUCUUCGGAGUCUAGCGGCGGACGGGUGAGUAACACGUGGGCAACCUGCCUGUAAGACUGGGAUAACACCGGGAAACCGGUGCUAAUACCGGAUAAUCCUUUUUCUCUCAUGAGGAAAAGCUGAAAGUCGGUUUCGGCUGACACUUACAGAUGGGCCCGCGGCGCAUUAGCUAGUUGGUGAGGUAACGGCUCACCAAGGCGACGAUGCGUAGCCGACCUGAGAGGGUGAUCGGCCACACUGGGACUGAGAAACGGCCCAGACUCCUACGGGAGGCAGCAGUAGGGAAUCGUCCACAAUGGACGAAAGUCUGAUGGAGCAACGCCGCGUGAGCGAUGAAGGCCUUCGGGUCGUAAAGCUCUGUUGUUAGGGAAGAACAAGUACCGGAGUAACUGCCGGUACCUUGACGGUACCUAACCAGAAAGCCACGGCUAACUACGUGCCAGCAGCCGCAGUAA